rnacentral:misc_RNA from 1 species
UGGCAUUUGGCGGUAACCCCUCUUCCUGACCUCCCUUCUCGUUUUUUCAUCGCCAUUCACCCGCGUCGUUGCUUCUCACCCUGCAUCCUCGUCGACGCGUCGCGCAGAACCGUUCGCGUAGCGCGCCUCACUCCUCCGUGCAUCCUUCCCUUCGGUUUAUCGGUGCGCACCAGCCCAGCCCAGCGCAGCCCCGCCCCGCCUUCGGACGCGCGCAUCUAUCUGCGGGACGGGCCGCCGUGAGCUGAGCAUACCACCAUGCACAGUGCUGUCACUUGCAUCAAGAGCCCGGGCGCGGCUCUCUUCACCGACACUGCCACCUGCCGCACCAUCACGUUGAGCCGGCCCGAUGCGUUGAACGCCAUGUCGUUGCCGAUGGUGCAGGACCUGCAUCGCCUGUACAUCACAGAGCCGCACCCGAACGAGGAUGCCGUGUACGUUGUGCGCGGUGACGGGCGGCGCAGCUUCUGUGCUGGUGGCGACCUGAAGGCCCUCACAGGACCCGAGAAAGACACGCACAACCCGCUGUUCUACCGCCUGGAGUACGAGGUGGACUCGCACAUUGCGGUGAUGCGGCGCACGCAGGUGACGAUGUGGGCGGGGCACGUGCUGGGGAGCGGCGUGGGCGUGUCGGUGCACAGCCGUUACCGCGUUGCGUGCGAGACGACGCGGUUCGCGAUGCCGGAGACGCAGAUCGGCGGCGCGAACGACGUUGCGACGAGCUGGGUGUUCUCGUCGCUGCCGAUAUGCGGGCUUGGCAUGUACCUUGCGAUCACGGGCAACACGCUGCAAGGCGCGGACGUGUUCCACGCGGGCCUGGCGACGCACUACAUCCCUGUGGAGAAGUUCGGCGCUGUGGAGGCUGCGCUGGCGGCGCUGCCGUCGUCGGAGGGCGUCGAGGAGUGCCUCCGAGGGUUCAGCGAGGACGUUGCUGUGCCGCCGUUCACGCUGGCGGAGAACGCGCCUGUGCUGGCGAAGGCGUUCGGCGCGAUCACUCCGUCGACGCACCUGCGCGACAUCAUGGAUGUGCUGCGCGCGGACGGCAGCGCGUUCGCUGCGAGCACGCUGAAGGUGAUGGAGCGCAACUCGCCGCUGGGCAUGACGCUUGCGCUGGAGAACAUGAAGCGGCAGCACACACCUGGGUGCAACACCGUGAUGGAGAGCUUCCGUGGCGACUACACGGCGAUUCAGACUUCCAUUUGUGUGGAUGAGCUGGCGAAGGGCGUGGAGGCGCUGUUUGUCACGAAGGAGAAGCGCCCGCAGUGGACGGUGGGGUCCGUGGACGAAGUCGAUGUGGAGCUCGUGAAGCAGCAGCUUUUUCUCGUGGAGGGCUUGCGAAUUUUCGGAAGUGGAACGGAUUGACGCGCGUGUUUCGGUGUUUUUUUUUUUUGUUGUUACCGUGCGCAGGCGAGUCCUGUGGGGUGACGGCGGUGUUGUACCUCCUGCUAUCUUCGGUGAUGGAUGUAUGGCCCUGGGCUGCGUAGUUGUCUUCCCCGGUGGCGAUGCUUCACGCAGUUCUUCUACGCGUCAGCUGUUUAUUGGCCUUUAUGCUGUUUCGGUUAGUGUGAGCGGGAGAUGAGGGUGUGGAGUGAACCGCCCGUUGGCCAUCCUGCGGACAGAAACUCGGGAGCAGCUGCUCGGCUAAUGCAAAGGGAGAGAGGCGGCGUCGCCGCACUCGGCGCAACACUGUGAGGGUUUUGCCGACAUGCGUGUCUCUACCAACGAGGUGGGCAUGAACACCGCUGAUGGCCCAUUACCAGUGGUGGGUGCCGCUGCUCAUCCCUCGGGUGCUCACGGCCGUGCGCCACAGCGCACGGCCUUUUUCAGCUCUCGGUGGGCGUCCUCUGACGGGGCGAAGGUGCUUGAGUGUUGGCGUUUGUGCUCUGCCGAGGUUUCCUAGCCCUACGGCUUGCGGCUCGAGCUUCGGACCUCAUCGUCCAUUUGCCCUUGUGUUUCUCUUCUAUCCGCCCCCUCCCUCUGCGUCGCGCACCCGCUUGCGGGCGGCAACGCUGCUCUAUCAG